rnacentral:rRNA from 1 species
UGGGGAAUCUUAGACAAUGGGGGAAACCCUGAUCUAGCCAUGCCGCGUGAGCGAUGAAGGCCUUAGGGUUGUAAAGCUCUUUCGCCUGGGAAGAUAAUGACGGUACCAGGUAAAGAAGCCCCGGCUAACUCCGUGCCAGCAGCCGCGGUAAUACGGAGGGGGCUAGCGUUGUUCGGAAUUACUGGGCGUAAAGCGCACGUAGGCGGACCAGAAAGUCAGGGGUGAAAUCCCGGGGCUCAACCCCGGAACUGCCUUUGAAACUCCUGGUCUCGAGUUCGAGAGAGGUGAGUGGAAUUCCGAGUGUAGAGGUGAAAUUCGUAGAUAUUCGGAGGAACACCAGUGGCGAAGGCGGCUCACUGGCUCGAUACUGACGCUGAGGUGCGAAAGUGUGGGGAGCAAACAGGAUUAGAUACCCCCGUAGUCC